AACGUAGGACGCAAGCGUUAUCCGGAGUUACUGGGCGUAAAGCGCGGGCAGGCGGUCGGGCAAGUGGGGUGUGAAAUCUCCCAGCUUAACUGGGAGAGGCCAUUCCAAACUGCUUGACUGGAGGGCAGUAGAGGUAGGCGGAAUUGACGGUGUAGCGGUGAAAUGCUUAGAUAUCGUCAAGAACACCGAUAGUGAAGACAGCUUACCAAGCUUCAACUGACGCUGAGGCACGAAAGUGUGGGGAUCAAACAGG
rnacentral:rRNA from 1 species